UACAGAGGUCUCAAGCGUUGUUCGGAUUCAUUGGGCGUAAAGGGUGCGUAGGCGGCGCGGUAAGUCGGGUGUGAAAUCUCGGAGCUUAACUCCGAAACUGCAUUCGAUACUGCCGUGCUUGAGGACUGGAGAGGAGACUGGAAUUCCCAGUGUAGCGGUGAAAUGCGUAGAUAUUGGGAGGAACACCAGAUGCGAAGGCGGGUCACUGGGCUGAUACUGACGCUGAAGUGCGAAAGCCAGGGGAGCGAACGGG
rnacentral:rRNA from 1 species